AGUGAACGCUGGCGGUAGGCCUAACACAUGCGAGUCGAACGGCAGCACAGUAAGAGCUUGCUCUUACGGGUGGCGAGUGGCGGACGGGUGAGGAGUACAUCGGAAUCUACUUUUUCGUGGGGGAUAACGUAGGGAAACUUACGCUAAUACCGCAUACGACCUACGGGUGAAAGCUGGGGAUCUUCGGACCUUGCGCGAUUGAAUGAGCCGAUGUCGGAUUAGCUAGUUGGCGGGGUAAAGGCCCACCAAGGCGACGAUCCGUAGCUGGUCUGAGAGGAUGAUCAGCCACACUGGAACUGAGACACGGUCCAGACUCCUACGGGAGGCAGCAGUGGGGAAUAUUGGACAAUGGGCACAAGCCUGAUCCAGCCAUACCGCGUGGGUGAAGAAGGCCUUCGGGUUGUAAAGCCCUUUUGUUGGGAAAGAAAAGCAGCAGGUUAAUACCCCGCUGUUCUGACGGUACCCAAAGAAUAAGCACCGGCUAACUUCGUG
rnacentral:rRNA from 1 species